CUACACCUGAAAUGAGCAAGAUAACCCGCUGAACUUAAGCAUAUCAUUA
rnacentral:rRNA from 1 species